CAGCCGCCGCGGGAACACGGAGGGGGCUAGCGUCGUUCGGAAUUACUGGGCGUAAAGCGCACGUAGGCGGCUUGGUAAGUUAGAGGUGAAAGCCCGGAGCUCAACUUCGGAAUUGCCUUUAAGACUGCCGAGCUAGCAGGUGAGAGAGGUAAGUGGAAUUCCGAGUGUAGAGGUGAAAUUCGUAGAUAUUCGGAAGAACACCAGUGGCGAAGGCGGCUUACUGGCUCAUACUGGACGCUGAGGUGCGAAAGCGUGGGGAGCAAACAGGAUUAGAUACCCGCGUAGUCCCUGUCUCUUAUAC
rnacentral:rRNA from 1 species